rnacentral:lncRNA from 1 species
AUGUAUUUCCUUCUACUGGGUUAUAAACAAGGAGCAAUCACUAAAAAGAGCAAGAGAAAUGCUUUACUAUCAAGCAAAAAUGCAAGAUGCCAAAUUGGGCAAAGAACAAAAAGGAACGUACACACUGAAUGUGCACGUGGUAAGCGCCAGGAGGGAGCUCACAAACGUGACCUCUGGACGAGUGGAGGAAUAUGGAAAGUCUUCAUUUGCAAAGCUCCCAGUACUGGCAGCGCCGUGGCUGCAGCUCCAGCUCGGAGAGGAGGAGGGACUCAGCCAUGCAGCCACUGGAGCUCAGGCACUUCGAUACCUGCUGUUGAUUCCCUGAGAGUCCUUGAUGCGGAACCCACCCGGGAACUUGAGAGAGCCGUGAGAAACCAUUUCCCAAAAGCCUUCCCAGACUUUAUCUGGCCCAAGUUCCCAGGUGACGGGGUUGCAAGGCCGCCCGCCACGCCCACGGUGACAGAGCCUGACUCCCAGCUCGCAGGAGCAUCCUUCACGCCGCGGCGGGUCAGGAACGUCGUCUUCGGACUUGAUGAAAUUUUCAUUCCUGACGUUAAUGGUGUCUUUCUCUCCGCCCCGCUCCCCAAUCUAACCAGACCAAAUACAGGAGGCCGUGGAGGGCAGGCAGCAGGCAUCUGGGGACACAUAGGCCUCCUCCUGUGCUUGUGUCUUACUUACAACCACUACACAAUAUCCCGUCAGGGCCACGCCACCCUCACUUAACCAAAUGCCUAUCCUUCGAGCAUUGAGCUGUUCCUACCUCUAUUGCUAUAAGCAAUAGUUCUGAACAUCUUUGUGCAUAAUUUUCCUUCCAAAUUCUAGAUGAUUUCCUUUGAGACAUUUCCAGAGGCAUAGUUCCUGGAUCAAAGGCAAAAGCCUUUUAAGGUCUUAGAUACAUAUGCCAAACGGUCUCCUGAGACGUCGGUGUGCAGCCCUGCAUGAGCCCAGCCAAACUAGCCAGUGCGGGGCGAAUGCUUGGUUUUUUUUUUUUUUUUUUUUUUAAGAUUUUAUUUAUUUAUUCUUGAGAGACAGAGACACAGGCAGAGGGAGAAGCAGGCUCCAUGCAGGGAGCCUGACGUGGGACUCAAUCCCGGGACCCCAGGAUCACAGCCUGGGCCGAAGGUGGUGCUAAACCACUGAGCCACCCAGGCUGCCCCAAAUGCUUGGUCUUGAAUCCUUCGUUAAUCAAACUCACUGGAAGUCACACAAGAGCUUCAGAUGGACAGAAGCUCCCACCAGGGUGACCACGCUGAGCUGACAUGAUUCCAUGCCAAAGUGAGGUGUGUGCUGUUUUCACAGCCUUCUAGCUCCAGAGCAGGGACGCGAGGUUCUUUUGUACCAUUCUGGAAGAUGGAGAAACUGGAUGACACAGGUUCUGGGAACCAAGAUGGCCUCACCUCCCUCCAUGCAGGUGACCCUGCCAUCUCUGCUCCUGUGUCGGGGUUUCCUAAAUGCACUCCCUGUGUUGGCUGUAGUUAUGUGAACAUUUACUUGUUGCUUAAAAUUAAGGUAAAAGAAUCCCUGGAGAGACCUGUUUACAAAAAAAAAAAAAAAAAAAACUAAACGCAAGAAUUCCUCCAAUAGCUAAAUAUCCUGUCACAAAGAAUGCAAACUUAACUUGUAUGCAUUCUGGGCAAACUGAUCUAGACCUGCACCGUAUCUGGAAUCUGGGUGGACGUGGGCCGGGGUUUUCCUCUUACUCAUCUCUUACUAGGGGUGCUGGCUCACUCCCAGCUGUAGAUCCCCCGUCUGCAAAAUGACUUAGGACAAGC